UUUCAGGAUGAACGCUAGCUACAGGCUUAACACAUGCAAGUCGAGGGGCAGCAUGGUCUUAGCUUGCUAAGGCCGAUGGCGACCGGCGCACGGGUGAGUAACACGUAUCCAACCUGCCGUCUACUCUUGGACAGCCUUCUGAAAGGAAGAUUAAUACAAGAUGGCAUCAUGAGUCCGCAUGUUCACAUGAUUAAAGGUAUUCCGGUAGACGAUGGGGAUGCGUUCCAUUAGAUAGUAGGCGGGGUAACGGCCCACCUAGUCUUCGAUGGAUAGGGGUUCUGAGAGGAAGGUCCCCCACAUUGGAACUGAGACACGGUCCAAACUCCUACGGGAGGCAGCAGUGAGGAAUAUUGGUCAAUGGGCGAGAGCCUGAACCAGCCAAGUAGCGUGAAGGAUGACUGCCCUAUGGGUUGUAAACUUCUUUUAUAAAGGAAUAAAGUCGGGUAUGGAUACCCGUUUGCAUGUACUUUAUGAAUAAGGAUCGGCUAACUCCGUGCCAGCAGCCGCGGUAAUACGGAGGAUCCGAGCGUUAUCCGGAUUUAUUGGGUUUAAAGGGAGCGUAGAUGGAUGUUUAAGUCAGUUGUGAAAGUUUGCGGCUCAACCGUAAAAUUGCAGUUGAUACUGGAUAUCUUGAGUGCAGUUGAGGCAGGCGGAAUUCGUGGUGUAGCGGUGAAAUGCUUAGAUAUCACGAAGAACUCCGAUUGCGAAGGCAGCCUGCUAAGCUGCAACUGACAUUGAGGCUCGAAAGUGUGGGUAUCAAACAGGAUUAGAUACCCUGGUAGUCCACGCGGUAAACGAUGAAUACUCGCUGUUUGCGAUAUACUGCAAGCGGCCAAGCGAAAGCGUUAAGUAUUCCACCUGGGGAGUACGCCGGCAACGGUGAAACUCAAAGGAAUUGACGGGGGCCCGCACAAGCGGAGGAACAUGUGGUUUAAUUCGAUGAUACGCGAGGAACCUUACCCGGGCUUAAAUUGCAGAUGAAUUACGGUGAAAGCCGUAAGCCGCAAGGCAUCUGUGAAGGUGCUGCAUGGUUGUCGUCAGCUCGUGCCGUGAGGUGUCGGCUUAAGUGCCAUAACGAGCGCAACCCUUGUUGUCAGUUACUAACAGGUUCCGCUGAGGACUCUGACAAGACUGCCAUCGCAAGAUGUGAGGAAGGUGGGGAUGACGUCAAAUCAGCACGGCCCUUACGUCCGGGGCUACACACGUGUUACAAUGGGGGGUACAGAGGGCCGCUACCACGCGAGUGGAUGCCAAUCCCCAAAACCUCUCUCAGUUCGGACUGGAGUCUGCAACCCGACUCCACGAAGCUGGAUUCGCUAGUAAUCGCGCAUCAGCCACGGCGCGGUGAAUACGUUCCCGGGCCUUGUACACACCGCCCGUCAAGCCAUGGGAGCCGGGGGUACCUGAAGUGCGUAACCGCGAGGAGCGCCCUAGGGUAAA
rnacentral:rRNA from 1 species